AACUUCUUUUUGGUAAACCUUUUCCCUGGCAUCCAUCAUGAGGCUGUGGCUUUCGAUUUGGCUUCUGUCCAUACUCAAUUUUCCGACACCUUGCCAUGAAAUAAGAAAUGGAAAAUUGGUGUGCCCAUGAUGGCUUUUUUCUCUCCGACUGAGGGGCUUAAACGGGGAAGGUGCAGUGGCUGGAAUGGAGACCCGAUUUGUGCCUUAAUUAUGAGUAAAAUUCUAUGAAACUAGCAUUAAAGGAAGUGCCGAUUA